UACGUAGGGUGCGAGCGUUGUCCGGAAUUACUGGGCGUAAAGAGCUCGUAGGUGGUUUGUCGCGUUGUUCGUGAAAACUCACAACUCAAUUGUGGGCGUGCGGGCGAUACGGGCAGACUGGAGUACUGCAGGGGAGACUGGAAUUCCUGGUGUAGCGGUGAAAUGCGCAGAUAUCAGGAGGAACACCGAUGGCGAAGGCAGGUCUCGUGGGCCAUAACUGACGCUGAGAAGCGAAAGCAUGGGGAGCGAACAGG
rnacentral:rRNA from 1 species